rnacentral:rRNA from 1 species
UACAGAGGUCUCAAGCGUUGUUCGGAUUCAUUGGGCGUAAAGGGUGUGUAGGUGGCGCGCUAAGUCGGGUGUGAAAUUUCGGAGCUUAACUCCGGAAACUGCAUUCGAUACUGGCGUGCUUGAGGACUGGAGAGGAGACUGGAAUUUACGGUGUAGCAGUGAAAUGCGUAGAUAUCGUAAGGAAGACCAGUGGCGAAGGCGGGUCUCUGGACAGUUCCUGACACUGAGACACGAAGGCCAGGGGAGCAAACGGG